GCAAAACGCGAAGAACCUUACCAGGUCUUGACAUCCCUCUGACCGUUCUAGAGAUAGGGCUUCCCUUCGGGGCAGAGGAGACAGGUGGUGCAUGGUUGUCGUCAGCUCGUGUCGUGAGAUGUUGGGUUAAGUCCCGCAACGAGCGCAACCCUUGAUCUUAGUUGCCAGCAUUGAGUUGGGCACUCUAGGAUGACUGCCGGUGAUAAACCGGAGGAAGGUGGGGAUGACGUCAAAUCAUCAUGCCCCUUAUGACCUGGGCUACACACGUACUACAAUGGCCGGUACAACGGGCAGCGAAGGAGCGAUCCGGAGCGAAUCCCAAAAAGCCGGUCUCAGUUCGGGUUGCAGGCUGCAACUCGCCUGCAUGAAGUCGGAACUGCUAGUAAUCGCGGAUCAGCAUGCCGCGGUGAAUACGUUCCCGGGUC
rnacentral:rRNA from 1 species